GAUGAACGCUGGCGGCGUGCCUAAUACAUGCCAGUCGAGCGAACAGAUAAGGAGCUUGCUCCUUUGACGUUAGCGGCGGACGGGUGAGUAACACGUGGGUAACCUACCUAUAAGACUGGAAUAACUCCGGGAAACCGGGGCUAAUGCCGGAUAACAUUUAGAACCGCAUGGUUCUAAAGUGAAAGAUGGUUUUGCUAUCACUUAUAGAUGGACCCGCGCCGUAUUAGCUAGUUGGUAAGGUAACGGCUUACCAAGGCAACGAUACGUAGCCGACCUGAGAGGGUGAUCGGCCACACGGGAACUGAGACACGGGCCAGACUCCUACGGGAGGCAGCAGUAGGGAAUCUUCCGCAAUGGGCGAAAGCCUGACGGAGCAACGCCGCGUGAGUGAUGAAGGUCUUCGGAUCGUAAAACGCUGUUAUUAGGGAAGAACAAAUGUGUAAGUAACUGGGCACGUCUUGACGGUACCUAAUCAGAAAGCCACGGCUAACUACGU
rnacentral:rRNA from 1 species